GACGAACGCUGGCGGCGUGCUUAACACAUGCAAGUCGAACGGAAAGGCCCUGCUUUUGUGGGGUGCUCGAGUGGCGAACGGGUGAGUAACACGUGAGUAACCUGCCCUUGUCUUUGGGAUAACUUCAGGAAACUGGGGCUAAUACCGGAUAGGAGCUCCUGCUGCAUGGUGGGGGUUGGAAAGUUUCGGCGGUUGGGGCUGGACUCGCGGCUUAUCAGCUUGUUGGUGGGGUAGUGGCUUACCAAGGCUUUGACGGGUAGCCGGCCUGAGAGGGUGACCGGCGACAAUGGUACUGAGAGACGGCGCAGACUCCUACGGGAGGCAGUAGUGGGGAAUAUUGCACAAUGGGCGGAAGCCUGAUGCAGCAACGCCGCGUGCGGGAUGACGGCCUACGGGGUGUAAACCGCUUUCGCCUGUGACGAAGCGUGAGUGACGGUAAUGGGUAAAGAAGCACCGGCUAACUACGUG
rnacentral:rRNA from 1 species